rnacentral:rRNA from 1 species
GAUAGGUGGGAGGCUUUGAAGCGUGGACGCCAGUCUGCGUGGAGCCAACCUUGAAAUACCACCCUUUAAUGUUUGAUGUUCUAACGUUGGCCCCUGACCGGGGUUGCGGACAGUGUCUGGUGGGUAGUUUGACUGGGGCGGUCUCCUCCCAAAGCGUAACGGAGGAGCACGAAGGUUAGCUAAUCCUGGUCGGACAUCAGGAGGUUAGUGCAAUGGCAUAAGCUAGCUUGACUGCGAGCGUGACGGCGCGAGCAGGUGCGAAAGCAGGUCAUAGUGAUCCGGUGGUUCUGAAUGGAAGGGCCAUCGCUCAACGGAUAAAAGGUACUCCGGGGAUAACAGGCUGAUACCGCCCAAGAGUUCAUAUCGACGGCGGUGUUUGGCACCUCGAUGUCGGCUCAUCACAUCCUGGGGCUGAAGUAGGUCCCAAGGGUAUGGCUGUUCGCCAUUUAAAGUGGUACGCGAGCUGGGUUUAGAACGUCGUGAGACAGUUCGGUCCCUAUCUGCCGUGGGCGCUGGAGAAUUGAGGGGGGCUGCUCCUAGUACGAGAGGACCGGAGUGGACGCAUCACUGGUGUUCGGGUUGUCAUGCCAAUGGCACUGCCCGGUAGCUAAAUGCGGAAGAGAUAAGUGCUGAAAGCAUCUAAGCACGAAACUUGCCCCGAGAUGAGUUCUCCCUGAGACUUUAAGUCUCCUGAAGGAACGUUGAAGACGACGACGUUGAUAGGCCGGGUGUGUAAGCGCAGCGAUGCGUUGAGCUAACCGGUACUAAUGAACCGUGAGGCUUAACCUUACAACGCCGAAG